rnacentral:tRNA from 1 species
UGCGAGAUGGUGCAGAUGGUUAGCACAGUGGGUUCAUAUCCCAAAGGUCACAGGUUCAAGUCCUGUUCUCGCAA